UUGAAGAGUUUGAUCAUGGCUCAGAUUGAACGCUGGCGGCAGGCCUAACACAUGCAAGUCGAGCGGUAGCACAGAGAGCUUGCUCUCGGGUGACGAGCGGCGGACGGGUGAGUAAUGUCUGGGAAACUGCCUGAUGGAGGGGGAUAACUACUGGAAACGGUAGCUAAUACCGCAUAAUGUCGCAAGACCAAAGUGGGGGACCUUCGGGCCUCAUGCCAUCAGAUGUGCCCAGAUGGGAUUAGCUAGUAGGUGGGGUAACGGCUCACCUAGGCGACGAUCCCUAGCUGGUCUGAGAGGAUGACCAGCCACACUGGAACUGAGACACGGUCCAGACUCCUACGGGAGGCAGCAGUGGGGAAUAUUGCACAAUGGGCGCAAGCCUGAUGCAGCCAUGCCGCGUGUGUGAAGAAGGCCUUCGGGUUGUAAAGCACUUUCAGCGGGGAGGAAGGCGUUAAGGUUAAUAACCUUGUCGAUUGACGUUACCCGCAGAAGAAGCACCGGCUAACUCCGUGCCAGCAGCCGCGGUAAUACGGAGGGUGCAAGCGUUAAUCGGAAUUACUGGGCGUAAAGCGCACGCAGGCGGUCUGUCAAGUCGGAUGUGAAAUCCCCGGGCUCAACCUGGGAACUGCAUUCGAAACUGGCAGGCUAGAGUCUUGUAGAGGGGGGUAGAAUUCCAGGUGUAGCGGUGAAAUGCGUAGAGAUCUGGAGGAAUACCGGUGGCGAAGGCGGCCCCCUGGACAAAGACUGACGCUCAGGUGCGAAAGCGUGGGGAGCAAACAGGAUUAGAUACCCUGGUAGUCCACGCCGUAAACGAUGUCGAUUUGGAGGUUGUGCCCUUGAGGCGUGGCUUCCGGAGCUAACGCGUUAAAUCGACCGCCUGGGGAGUACGGCCGCAAGGUUAAAACUCAAAUGAAUUGACGGGGGCCCGCACAAGCGGUGGAGCAUGUGGUUUAAUUCGAUGCAACGCGAAGAACCUUACCUGGUCUUGACAUCCACAGAACUUUCCAGAGAUGGAUUGGUGCCUUCGGGAACUGUGAGACAGGUGCUGCAUGGCUGUCGUCAGCUCGUGUUGUGAAAUGUUGGGUUAAGUCCCGCAACGAGCGCAACCCUUAUCCUUUGUUGCCAGCGGUUAGGCCGGGAACUCAAAGGAGACUGCCAGUGAUAAACUGGAGGAAGGUGGGGAUGACGUCAAGUCAUCAUGGCCCUUACGACCAGGGCUACACACGUGCUACAAUGGCAUAUACAAAGAGAAGCGACCUCGCGAGAGCAAGCGGACCUCAUAAAGUAUGUCGUAGUCCGGAUUGGAGUCUGCAACUCGACUCCAUGAAGUCGGAAUCGCUAGUAAUCGUAGAUCAGAAUGCUACGGUGAAUACGUUCCCGGGCCUUGUACACACCGCCCGUCACACCAUGGGAGUGGGUUGCAAAAGAAGUAGGUAGCUUAACCUUCGGGAGGGCGCUUACCACUUUGUGAUUCAUGACUGGGGUGAAGUCGUAACAAGGUAACCGUAGGGGAACCUGCGGUUGGAUCACCUCCUU
rnacentral:rRNA from 1 species